UGAACAUGCCACCGUAUUCUUCAUUCCUUC
rnacentral:piRNA from 1 species